CCAAUAGCGUAUAUUAAAGUUGUUGCAGUUAAAAAGCUCGUAGUUGAAUUUCGGGGUUCUACCGUCGGUCGGGCUACCAAGUCUGUACUGGUGUGUAGAAUUUCUACCUUCUGGGGAACCAUCAUGUUAUUAAUUUGGCGUGGUGGGAAACCAGGACCUUUACCUUGAAAAAAUUAGAGUGUUCAAAGCAGGCUUAUGUCUGAAUACAUUAGCAUGGAAUAAUAGAAUAGGACGGUGGUCCUGUUUUGUUGGUUUCUGAAUCACCGUAAUGAUUAAUAGGGAUAGUUGGGGGCAUUAGUAUUCAAUUGUCAGAGGUGAAAUUCUUGGAUUUAUUGAAGACUAACUUCUGCGAAAGCAUUUGCCAAGGAUGUUUUCAUUAAUCAAGAACGAAAGUUAGGGGAUCGAAGACGAUCAGAUACCGUCGUAGUCUUAACCAUAAACUAUGCCGACUAGGGAUCGGACGAUGUUAACUUUUAUUGACUCGUUCGGCGCCUUACG
rnacentral:rRNA from 1 species